GGAGGGCUGGGGCUGCUCUUCUCCCCAUGUUGUGGGGGAGCCGAGUGGGGAAUGCAGAGCUGAGUGUGCUGCAAAGUUCCUGCGUCCUCUGAUCUCCGAAUGGACGGCCAAACAGUGAGUUUGCUCUGUGCCAGAGGCUGUUUCCGUUUCUUUAUUUAUAUAUUUCCUUCUCCAGCCAAAGCUGUUUGUAGGAGUUCAUCCCUCCUGCCUUGCUUUCUUUAAUCCUCCUUUUGUACGGAGGGCUGGAAACCUCCCCGAGCUUCCCAAGGGGUGACUCCCAGAGCUGUGCCCAGCAAUUCUCGCCUCUGGCAGCAGCUCUGAGCAUUGGCUCUGUGAGAUGGGAGCGUGAGUGGGGCAGCACCGACUCCUCCGUCCCAGCAGAGCAGGGACUGAGAUGCUGCUGGGAAGGGAAGAGGGGUCAGGCAUUGCCUGUGUGUCCGAGAGGGGCUGGACAGGGAUGGUGAUGGAAUAAGGCAACGUGUUGCUAGGAGACAUCAAACUGGGGCUCAAUAAUUCAUGAGAGCUCCGCAAUGGAGUGAAUAAUUCAGGGUGUGGGAUGCUGUAGGGCCCCCGUCCAGCCCUACUGCCCACCUCAGCUCCCUGGGGAGGGACCUCGAGGGCUGAGAUGGGGCUGGGGGGGCUCUGCAGCCCAAAGCAGCCCUCCAGAUGGAAGCAGGGGAGCCUGGCGGCCCCAACCUGCUACCCAGCACCCAGGGAUGUGCAGACCAGGAGGAGGAGCUGAGGGCUUUGCCACGCUUGGUGUGAGCACAGCUUUAUCCUGGAGGCUCUCUCCAUUUUCAGGCUCAUCCAAAUGACUUGGCAAUGAGUUUUGCCUCCCCCUCCCCUGAAUGCUAUGAUUUCUACGUCCUAAUGUUAAACAGAACCAACCCUGAUGGGGCUCCAGCGAUCUGUUAGAAAUGUUUCAUUUGGAAAUCAAACUGAAUUUAAAUGGUGACGGUCAGUAUUGGAGAACAAAACCAAUGGGUUUUCCUUUUCGAGUUGAGCUGAGCGCUUCAUUCAAUGCGAAGUCAGGGUUGAAAGGAAAACAAGCCUCUGGUCACUGAACCAGCAAGGAAAAAAAAUCAUUACUUUAAUCACAACUCUAUUCAGGAUGGAUCUCUUCAAACGAUUUUAUGGGAGAACAAAACUGGUCAAGCAUUCAGCUGCAGGAAAAUCCAUAUGGAAGAUUUCCUCUCUCUUUGUUGGUCUGAAGCAACAGAAGUAUUAUCUGCGUUCGAAAGGAGCUGAAGACUGGUGCCAGAGCAGUCACAUCUGAAAGCCUCUCUCAUCUAAGAUUCAAGAAAAUGGCUUCUUGUCUAACAGUAAACGACAUUAUUAAUUUAUAUGGCAUUUCUGUGCCAACAAAAA